rnacentral:rRNA from 1 species
GACGAACGCUGGCGGCGUGCUUAACACAUGCAGGUCGAACGGAAAGGCCCUGCUUUUGUGGGGUGCUCGAGUGGCGAACGGGUGAGUAACACGUGAGUAACCUGCCCUUGACUUUGGGAUAACUUCAGGAAACUGGGGCUAAUACCGGAUAGGAGCUCCUGCUGCAUGGUGGGGGUUGGAAAGUUUCGGCGGUUGGGGAUGGACUCGCGGCUUAUCAGCUUGUUGGUGGGGUAGUGGCUUACCAAGGCUUUGACGGGUAGCCGGCCUGAGAGGGUGACCGGCCACAUUGGGACUGAGAUACGGCCCAGACUCCUACGGGAGGCAGCAGUGGGGAAUAUUGCACAAUGGGCGGAAGCCGGAUGCAGCAACGCCGCGUGCGGGAUGACGGCCUUCGGGUUGUAAACCGCUUUCGCCUGUGACAAAGCGUGAGUGACGGUAAUGGGGAAAGAAGCACCGGCGAACUACGU